rnacentral:rRNA from 1 species
CCUACGGGUGGCUGCAGUCGAGAAUCAUUCACAAUGGGGGAAACCCUGAUGGUGCGACGCCGCGUGGGGGAAUGAAGGUCUUCGGAUUGUAAACCCCUGUCAUGUGGGAGCAAAUUAAAAAGAUAGUACCACAAGAGGAAGAGACGGCUAACUCUGUGCAAGCAGCCGCGGUAAUACAGAGGUCUCAAGCGUUGUUCGGAAUCACUGGGCGUAAGGCGUGCGGAGGCUGUUUCGUAAGUCGUGUGUGAAAGGCGCGGGCUCAACCCGCGGACGGCACAUGAUACUGCGAGACUAGAGUAAUGGAGGGGGAACCGGAAUUCUCGGUGUAGCAGUGAAAUGCGUAGAUAUCGAGAGGAACACUCGUGGCGAAGGCGGGUUCCUGGACAUUACCUGACGCUGAGGCACGAAGGCCAGGGGAGCGAAAGGGAUUAGAUACCCGGGUAGUC